rnacentral:lncRNA from 1 species
CUCCACUUUGGCAUCGGUAACAACUGCUUCGGCUUGGGUAGCAGUUGCUUCGACUUCUGAUUAUUUAAAUUCAAUUAUUGCUUGAGAAGUAGAAACUUUUCAGCAAAAGUUAGAAAAAAAUUGUAAGCAUAGGCGUGAAGCAGUCAAGAGAAAGAAAUAAGGAAUAAAGGUACCUUCGGCUUCCUUUGGCUACAAGUUUUUUCAGAUAGCUGUAGCCUUCUCAGCUACCCUUCGAGCCUGCAAUAAGCUGGACAUUAGAAAGUGUGCAUGCUUCACAAAGGUAAACAUAGGUAACUAAGUACAAACCUUCUCCUUAUUUUUCAUUGACUCUUCGAUAGAGAUUUCUUUUCCACCCAUUGACCAUAUAUCAAACAGGAUUUUUUUGCCCAUUCCGAAGCUUCAACAAUUGAUCUCCUGACGCUAUCUGCAUAAACUUCAAAGUUUGGAUAUAUGCACAUCUUCACUUGGCUACAUCCAACGUUCAGAAAACUGAAGCAGUGCUUUGGUGCUUGUCCACGCGUAGUAGUCCUUCCGUGUUGAGAGGAUACUCUUGUAUGCACAGAUCUCAUUAAGGAUCCACUGCAUGAUCCCAAAUGUAUCACCAUAUACAAAAUUUCUAGCUCAGGAUUUUGCCCCAACAGGGGAGAAGGUCCUCUCCAACUCAUUGCAACACCUAUUGACCAAGGUAAAGGGAUUAGUUUUGAAAACCCAAAAAAAUUCGUUGAGUUGCCUCAGAUGAACUCUUUCAGCGGAAAGGUCUUCUAAUUUCAACUAAGCAACCUCUAAGCUAGCAGCUACUUCGACAGAAUACUCUUCUUUUACACGCUUCAUUUCGGCUUCAAGUAGCACAAGCUAUUUUUCUCUUUUCGCAUUCAAAGUUUUGAGCUACGAAACCUUACCUAGAGCUUUGUUAUUUUCUUUGGUCAAAGUCUGAACCUCGCUUCGACUCUAAAUGAAAUCCUAUUCCAAAAUUUUAGAUGCCUUUUCUUUCUCUGCACAGUUGAAACGAACCUCUGAUGCUUCGGACCUAAGCUUUACAAUUUCCUUCUAGGUAGCUUCGCCCUCAAUUUUUUUCAUG